CCUACGGGUGGCAGCAGUGAGGAAUAUUGGUCAAUGGGCGCAAGCCUGAACCAGCCAAGUCGCGUGAGGGAAGACGGUCCUAUGGAUUGUAAACUUCUUUUGUCGGGGAGCAAACCGCGGUACGAGUACCGCGAAGGAGAGUACCCGAAGAAAAAGCAUCGGCAAACUCCGUGCAAGCAGCCCCGGUAAUACGGGGGUUGCGAGCGUUAUCCGGAUUUAUUGGGUUUAAAGGGUGCGUAGGCGGAUUAGUACGUCAGCGGUAAAAAUGCGGUGCUCAACGCCGUAUCGCCGUUGAUACUGCAGGUCUUGAGUGAGCGAGAAGUAUGCGGAAUGCGUGGUGUAGCGGUGAAAUGCAUAGAGAUCACGCAGAACUCCGAUUGCGAAGGCAGCAUACCGGCGCUCAACUGACGCUGAGGCACGAAAGCGUGGGGAUCGAACAGGAUUAGAUACCCCUGUAGUC
rnacentral:rRNA from 1 species